rnacentral:rRNA from 1 species
UACAGAGGUCUCAAGCGUUGUUCGGAUUCAUUGGGCGUAAAGGGUGCGUAGGCGGCGCGGUAAGUCGGGUGUGAAAUCUUGGAGCUUAACUCCGAAACUGCAUUCGAUACUGCCGUGCUUGAGGACUGGAGAGGAGACUGGAAUUCCUGGUGUAGCGGUGAAAUGCGCAGAUAUCAGGAGGAACACCGGUGGCGAAGGCGGGUCUCUGGGCAACUACUGACGCUGAGGAGCGAAAGCGUGGGGAGCGAACAGG